GAUGAAGAACGUAGCGAAAUGCGAUAAGUAAUGUGAAUUGCAGAAUUCAGUGAAUCAUCGAAUCUUUGAACGCACAUUGCGCCCCUUGGUAUUCCGAGGGGCAUGCCUGUUCGAGCGUCAUUAUAACCCCUCAAGCUCAGCUUGGUGUUGGGGCCUGCCGCACGGGCAGCCCUUAAAAUCAGUGGCGGUGCCAUCUGGCUCUAAGCGUAGUAAUUCUUCCCGCUAUAGAGUCACGGUGGAUGCUUGCCAUUAACCCCCAAUUUUCAAUGGUUGACCUCGGAUCAGGUAGGGAUACCCGCUGAACUUAAGCAUAUCAAUAAGCGGAGGA
rnacentral:misc_RNA from 1 species